rnacentral:misc_RNA from 1 species
UCUGGAGCGUGGUUCCGCUCCGGAGGUUUUUUCAGGAAAGCCCUCCGGCGGCGCAGGAGACAUUACUCCGACGACAUUGACACAUACAAGGAAACAGCCCCGUUCCCUAGCCGAGGUCAGAAGAAUCCUGUCGCACACCAUACCACGGAAGAGUCCCGGGUGAGCCAAAGCGUCGGCCACCCGGGAGGACACCGCGGCACGGGGGAUUAGCUCAGCUGGCUAGAGCACCUGCUUUGCACGCAGGAGGUCUGCGGUUCGAUCCCGCAUAGCUCCACCAUCUCUGUAGUGAUUAAAUAAAAAAUACUUCAGAGUGUACCUGCAAAGGUUCACUGCGAAGUUUUGCUCUUUAAAAAUCUGGAUCAAGCUGAAAAUUGAAACACUGAACAACGAAAGUUGUUCGUGAGUCUCUCAAAUUUUCGCAACACGAUGAUGAAUCGCAAGAAACAUCUUCGGGUUGUGAGGUUAAGCGACUAAGCGUACACGGUGGAUGCCCUGGCAGUCAGAGGCGAUGAAGGACGUGCUAAUCUGCGAUAAGCGUCGGUAAGGUGAUAUGAACCGUUAUAACCGGCGAUUUC